AGUCCCUCUCCAGUCAUUUAUUAACCCCCUAAAAACUCAUCCCUGUGUAUUAAAGUUACAUAUUCAGAAGUUUUUCCCAUAAGAAUAAUCUCUUUCUUUUUUACUUAUAAAACAUUGCCUGUAUGAAUCUGUAUUUUUGAAGCUGUCAUCAAUACGCUGCAGUUUCAAGGUGGGAAUGCUCAGCCAUGGUGUUUUUUAUUUUGUCUUCUUGCAUAUAACAAAUAAAACACUAUUUAGAAUAAACAAACACAUUUUAAAAAUGUAAAAAUCCAUGAAAAACAGUGGAAAUCUGGCUGCAAGAGUGCCAGAAAAAUGUGUGAAAUGGCUUAAUAGGGAAAAUAAUAACAAAUAUCUGUAAAAGAAAAAAAGUACAUUUUUUUUAGCUGAUUUAAAUACAAUAAAACGGUGUCAUUUAAUGAUCACACAUAAAAAGAACUAAUUUGUGUCUGUUAAAGUAAAGAUUUUGGUGGCUUGUUCUUUAACACAGAAAAAAAUUGUGUUUUUUGUUGUUGUUUUUACAGUUUGCAAAAAUGCUGAUUUUUUAUUCAUGUACAGUUCUGACCUUUAACAUAUGAAUCAAUACUUAUUUUUUGUGAUUUUACUAGAUAUUAUGUGUAAUUUAACAAACUGACAAAAAUCUGCAAAUAACAAUUUUAAAAAAUCCUUAAUAUACAUAAUUUUCUUUCUCAUACUGGCAAUUGUUAAUUUAUUUUUUUUAAAAAGUGUAAUUUUACAGUCCAAUGCUGUAAAUGAACAAAUUACCAUUUGUACAAUAUGGAUUUUGCUGAUGACAUUAUUUAAAGUUUUGAUCUGUUUUGAAACAUGUAAAUAAAUAGCUUUGUACUUUUAUCUGCAAAAAAAUACGUAUUUCUUUCAUUUCAUAUGGAUAUAUAGAGUAUAACAUGUCAGUUUAGAAACAUCAUAGUAUAGCAUGUCGCUGUAAAAACGUCAUUGUAUAGCAUGUCGCUGUAAAAACGUCAUUGUAUAGCAUGUCGCUGUAAAAACGUCAUUGUAUAGCAUGUCGCUGUAAAAACGUCAUUGUAUAGCAUGUCGCCCAAAAAACGUCAUCGUAUAGCCUUUGGUUCAACAAACGUCAUUGUAUAGCAUGUCGCUCUUAAAGCGUCAGAGUAUAGCAUGUUGUCCAAAGAACAUCAUAGUAUAGCAUGUCGCUCUAAAAACGUCAUAGUAUAGCCUUUGGUCCACAAAAUGUUGUUAUGUCCUGGCUGUCUGAAGUAGGUGAGGAGCACAACAAAAAUAGUCCAAACGCUGGUUUCCAGAGGGUUCGACGAGUGUUUAUUUGAAAGACUAAGUUUACAACAACACAACAUGUGAGGGGGUUAAAAGCAAAUGGGUGUUAGUAAAAUAAAAAUAAAUAAACAGAACUAAAAGUGAACUUCAUGUUGACAUUGAUGGGCAUUCCAACCAGGAACAAAGUAAAAGAUAAUCAAUACGAAAAAAAACUCUUCCUGUUCACCUCUUAAAACCCAAAAACACACCGCAGUAGCACCCUAAACUAAAACUACCAGUGAGUUCCCUGUUUUCCUUUGUGAACAAUUCAAAGGUCCCUCUCUAUCUCCCCACACAUCCACCAACCACUGGAACACAUCUCCAAAGUUCUGCCGGGCCAGCUCAGCUUCCCCUCAGAAGAAGUGCCACCACCUGCCAGAUGAAGGAGCCUUUUGAGAGGCAGCUGGCAUCGUGAUUGGACUGUACUUUGGUCUGUUCCAAUCCAGCUUCAGCUCCAGAGACGGCAGGCCGGACGAGUCAACGGAGGCCUGGUGGACGAAGACAUGCAGCUGAGUACAAUCCAGAAAACAACAGAGGAGGAGUGCAGCAGACCAGAGCCAGAACAACCAGAGUAGCAUCGUAUGUCUCUUAGAAAACAUCAUAGUAGAGCCUUUGGUAUGAAAAAACAGCAUAAUAUACAUCGUAUAUUGUACAAAUAACAAGUCAAAGGAAAGAGACCUCAACUGUAGAAUUGUAGUAAUUGUGGGCUGACUGAUUUACUCAUUAUCAGUAUUUUAUUUUUUACUGAUUUAUGGUAAUAAAUACAUUUAAAAAUGGUGCUACUUUGGCUCUGAACCUUUAUCUACCUGUGGUCGCUCUGUCUUCUGGAGUGAUUUGAUUGGUUAUACGUCACGAAUAAAACUCCUUUAACUUAACAUCUGUAAACAAAACAAAAGCAUAUCAACAAAGUUUUCUGUUAAAGUUUGUGGUCUUGUAAGUUGAACUCCAAGAUUUUAAAUACUUUCAUUUACUGCAAAUGAAUAUCUACUCCAAAUGACUCACUAAUUAUCAUUAUCAGCCUUAAAAGCCCACAAAACACCCCUCUACACUCCACCACACUUAGUACAGUCUGGUUCCCCCUUCUAUAAAUCUGCUUGGACUCUUCCACUUCCUGUUUGUCAAAGUGGCCUUCUACCUAGACUACAAUGAGAAAAACUAUCAGACAGCAGACGGCUGCAUUCAAGUCUGUAGCUGCUGAAUUCAUGGGUGAAUCAUCUGGCACUAGAGAGGAAGACCAUCAAACAUCCACGUCAGCUGAUGGAGGUCCAAGAGUCUCACCGAACAACCAACCUACAGAGUGAAGACCUCGAAUCUGAUUGGACGGCCUCUUAUUCAGCCACUUUAGGCUGUUAGAUUGUUCCAGAUAAGACAAGUACAAGAUUCUUCAGAGCCGUUCUACCACGAGCCUGACAGGAAGAACUCCAACAGGUACUGAAUGUUCCUGUGGUCCCCUCAAGGCUACAGGAGGAGUCCUACGAGGACGAGCCUGUCCACCUGAUAGUGGCCAGUCGCUGCGGUUCAAAGCCAACACUGACUACAUGGACUUCUACUGGACCACACUGAGGCCUUCAAACCGGACCAACAAGUUCAGCGACUCCGUGACUCGUGGGUCUGAAGACGCCGCCGAGCCUCGGUCCAGCCGGCCUCCUGUCUGGGUGUUUGAGUGCUGAGAGGUUUGUGGAUACAUGUGAACAUGUCUGUGUUGAAACAGCAGCUUUGGACUCAGUAACGCCGGGAAAAACCAAGAGCUCCUUUAUUUGUGACUUCCACUAAAAAAAACUGAUGAAAAUAAGUUUUCCAGGGUUCUGACUGAUAACAGAUUAUUAAAUAAUGAAAAUAAUCGUUUAAAUAUUCGUUUAAACAAUCCUUUUAGGUCUACAUUUCCUUUACACCGACUUACACCGCGUGAGGAUGUUGUAGGUGGAAUACUUCCUGAAACCAACCUUUUAGGUCAACAUUCAAAGAUUUAAGGUGAAAUAUUCCUUUAAAUCAACCUAAAUUUCAUGUUUUGAUCAUUAUCAAGUGAGAAACCUCAAUCCAGACUCCUCAUAAAGACACUUGAGAUUUAUGCUGCUGUUUAGUCCAGACUAAAUGGCAGAAAUCCACAACUGUAAUUUUAUUUCAGGACUCGGUUAUUAAAUGUCAAAACAAUCCAUGUGACUCUAAAAACUCAACAGCUUUACAAACUCCAAGUUUAAACUCUCCACAAGGAUCCAAAAUAAGUUGGACUUCUACAUGAGAGCUUUAAUUAUUCUUCAUCUACUUCCUGAAAAGUUUGGUCAAUAAAAAAGACAAAAACUAAUAUUUUCAGCUGAACUAAAGACAGACUUUGUGAUUUUUCUGCUCACAUGUUGUGUUGUUGUAAACUUACUCUUUCAAAUAAAUAGCUGCCUAACCCCCUGGAAACCAGCGUUUGUCCUGUUUUUGUGUUGCUCCUCGGCGACCCUAGACAGCCGGGUCCUAAUGUUUUUUGAGCAACAUACCAUACUAUGAUGUUUUUACAAUGAUGGUUCUACUAUGGAACCAGUUUGACAUGUUCAGGUGUUCUUUGUGUGAAAACUCAGAGAUUUCAGGUAUCAGAAGGUGGUUUUCAACUUUGUUAACUUUCUGCUUCAACUUUAAACUAAAUUUCCUUCACUAAGCCAGCCCUCUGGACUUCCAGUAAGCUGUGUUCCUAUUGGCUGUCCAGGUGCCUGCUUGGUGUUAUCAGGAACACCUGAGCAGCUUGGUGUUAUCAGGAACACCUGAGCAGCUCAGUGUCUUCCUGCUUUAUUUAGCUGCAGACAAACAUUUCCUCUGCUUCUCUGCACCACUGAACCGGGUUUGGCUCCGUUGCUUCAGUUUGUUCUUUAGGCGUUUGCUUGCAGCUUCCAGCAGUAAAGUCGUCUUUAAUGUGUUUCUUGGUGUGUUUUAGGGCUUUGUACUGGAUAGUUGUCUUGAUAAAGGUGGUUCUUUAGCCACAGUUAGCACAUGGUGCUAAUGUGUGCAGUGAUUAGUGGAUUUGGUACAGCUGAGUUGUGUCUUUAUCUUGGCUGUAGUGAGUCUUCAGAGGUUUUUGGUCAGACACAUUCUGUAUUCUUGUUUGUGAACCAGCGCUGGUUGUCCAGAAGGUAAGAGUUCCUGUCCUGAUUCUCUGUUCUCAGAGGUUCUCUGGUAGGCUGUAGGAGACUUUAGCGUUUGGGUUGUGCUAGUUUGGUUUUUGUAUGGUUUCAUUUGGAGGACUAUCUUGAGGCCCCUCCAUGUGGUUUAGUGAGGUUUUCUGCAACAGUUCUACAAAGCAACCUGCAGCAGAAGAGACUUUGAGGGUUUUUAGGAAGUUCUAGAGACCAGACUUUAGAGCAGCAGAAACAUUUGUCAGCAGUUUGAGCAGGAGAAGGUGAGCUUCAGAGUAGAAAUGAGACGGAAACCUUCUUGACCCGUGUGGUGAGGUCCUGUACCAAGAGUUUGAGCAGGUUGUGAAGAGUCUGUAGUUCUUUGGUCUGAAAGCACAAGAAGAGUCGACUCAUUAAAGGAGAAAACAGGAGAUAUUGUUGGUUCUUCUCUUGCUCUGCAGUUUCCAGUUUCCUUAGACUGAAUAUCAAGUUUAUAUUUUAAAUGAUUUCCCCCUGAGCCCAAGAAGACUUCAAUAAACUCCCUCCAUCCCCUGGACACAACAGAUUUUAUUACCGCGUUAAAUCUUUUUUUUUUUUUUUUUUUUUUAAAUAUAUUUUUGAGUUUUAGUCAUAGUUUUGGCAUUUUUUUUCUCUUUGCUUGUUUAGCUUUGUCAUCUGUGUGAAAGGUGCUAAACAAAUAAAGUUGAAUUGAUAAAGUGAAUAAUUGACUAAUUCAUGAUUGUGACAACAGAAGUAUUUUCAUUGUGAUUUAAGGGUUUACUUCAUUUUUAAGGUUGGGGUUAAAGUCUUGACAGAAAAAAAAGAUUAAAGAAAUAAACUACAUUAAAAAAAGCAAUUAAAUCAAAGGAAAAAAAACAUUUAAUACAGUAAAACUUUUAAAAAGAAAAUUAAACAUUCAAUACAAUUAAAUUAUAUUAAACAGACAAAAUAUUUAUUUAAAUAAACAGAAGAUACAAAACAUGUAAUU